rnacentral:rRNA from 1 species
CAAUAAGCGGAGGAAAAGAAACCAACAGGGAUUGCCCCAGUAACGGCGAGUGAAGCGGCAACAGCUCAAAUUUGAAAUCUGGCCCCCCGCGGGCCCGAGUUGUACUUUGGAGAGGACGCUUCUGGCGCGGCGCCGGCCGAGUGCCCUGGAACGGGCCGCCGGAGAGGGUGAGAGCCCCGUACGGCCGGCCGCCUAGCCUCUGCGAAGCUCCUUCGACGAGUCGAGUAGUUUGGGAAUGCUGCUCAAAAUGGGAGGUAAAUUUCUUCUAAAGCUAAAUACCGGCCAGAGACCGAUAGCGCACAAGUAGAGUGAUCGAAAGAUGAAAAGCACUUUGAAAAGAGGGUUAAACAGUACGUGAAAUUGCUGAAAGGGAAGCGCCUGUGGCCAGACUUGCGCCCCGCGGACCACCCGGCGCCCGCGCCGGGGCACGCCGCGGGGCGCAGGCCAGCAUCGGCUCUCCCAGGGGGACAAAGGCCGCGGGAACGUAGCGCCCUCGGGCGUGUUACAGCCCGCGGCGCCAUGCCCCUGGGGGGGCCGAGG